CCGCUGAAGUCACUGGCAAAAUCCCUGUUUCAGUGGCAGCUGGCUCUUCCCCUUUGCAGUGCUGUUACAUGUUACUACUGGACAGAAACGGGUGAUGUUUCCUGUGUGGGAUUUCAAACACCUUGGGUAAUUCUGCUGCUUCUGUCUCCAAAGGGAGAAGAGGAACGGUUCACCUUCCUUAUGCAAAACCCAGAGGACAAAAGGGCUGAGAUACCUGCCAGUUUAAAGGAGUUGCUAGCGCACUGACAGAACAGCAGGAGACACAGUG